rnacentral:rRNA from 1 species
UACGUAGGAGGCGAGCGUUGUCCGGAAUUAUUGGGCGUAAAGAGCUCGUAGGCGGUCUGUCGCGUCUGCUGUGAAAUCCCGAGGCUCAACCUCGGGCUUGCAGUGGGUACGGGCAGGCUAGAGUGCGGUAGGGGAGAAUGGAACUCCCGGUGUAGCGGUGGAAUGCGCAGAUAUCAGGAAGAACACCGAUGGCGAAGGCAGUUCUCUGGGCCGUAACUGACGCUGAGGAGCGAAAGCGUGGGGAGCGAACAGG